CCUGAUCUGGAUUCCUGCCACAACCCCUCUAAGUCUGCGCACCUCCAGCCCUGCCACUUUGCGAAGCCUCUUCACACUGCAGCCUGCUCAUUGCCCUUGGGACCAAGUCUCUGCCUCUUGGUUGGCCACCCAAGGCCCCGGUCUGAUUCCUGCCUCCCCCCGUUCCUUUUGUCCUGUCCACGCUGCUCCAGUCCUCAGGCUCAGAAAACAUCUUGCACGUUCCCCUCUCUGUCUUUGCCCAAGAAGGAUUUGUCAUUCACUCCUAUGGGUUUCUCAUUUAUUAUUAUUGUUAUUGUUGUUGUCAUUUCUGCCGAUGCACUCAAAUCUCUUUCCGUAGAGAUUCAAAGGCCCCUGUCCUCCUAGAUUGGAGAACUCUUGAGGGCCCCCCCAUGCCCAAGUGUGGAAUCAGCUCACAUGACAGAUGCUCGAGAAAGGUUUCCAGGGCUUCAUGCUUUCUGGAAAAAGUAAAUGUACUUGGAAUCAUCACUACCAGAAGCUUAGGGCUUGAGGGCUUCCAAUUUUACUAGUGGGAGAUUGCAGGGAUUAGUCCUUUAAGUUUCUAGGGCCUUGCUGAGAGAGCUCCUGCUUUAUUACCCCAUCUGCUCAGUGUUGGGGUGUGUGGAGGUCGAUAGCCCGCCAGCCUGGACCUCCCUCAUCCCUCUGCAGAGCCCGAUGUGAACCUUGGAUGGCCUGCUUUUCCUAUAUGUGGCCUCGAGCAUCCUCUGGGAGAGCCAGGAGGCUUGCCAUCACCUUCCCCUUCUUAAUGUAAGUGGAAUCUAUGGAGGACUUCUCUGGUGGUUCAGAGGUUAAAACUCCAUGCUUCCACUGCAGAGGGUGCUGGUUUAAUCCCUAAUGGGUAACUAAUAUCCCACAUGCCAUGUGAUAAGGCCUAUAUAUAUAUAUAUAUAUAUAUAUGGUUAUGUGUGUUUGUGUGCAUGUAUAUGUAUGUAUAUGUAUAUAUAUGGAAUGUAUGGGCCAUGCUCUUUUCUCUGACCAGUUGACAGUGAUGGAUGCUGGGAGGACAGAUGUAUGUCUAAGUGGUAGACAUCUUUCAGAGCCCUGUUGUGUCUGGAGCUCAUGGGUAGGGGCUGUCUGUCAUAAGAUUACAAAAUCCACAAGAAAAGAAAAUAUCUGGAGAAACCCUUAGGACAAGCAGUCCCCCUGGUGCCCUCCACCUCCCAAAGUGAUUGGCUGACAUUGAUAAUUCAUUGAUAACAGUUCACUGAUAAUCUGAAACCACAGGGCCCACAGAGUGGUUCACCAUAUUUCCUGCCCCCUGCUUCUGGUCACUCCAGUUAAUACAAGUAAUUCAAGAUGUCCAGCUUCCUCAUGCAGCCCCAGCUGGCUCUGGGCUCCUCCUGUGUGGGUUGUCCAGUUAUCUUAGAAAGGGGAAGAGAGAGAACUUGGCAGAGUAUCAUUUACUCCAAAUAGUCACUCUCCCAUUCUGCGCAUAAGCAAUUUCCUAACACUAGAACCAAAGAAAGUUCACUGGGCAUUGGAGAAAUUGAAAAGGAUCCAGGCUAUGUGGCCCUGGGCUAGCCCUUGGCCGUCUCUGGGUCUUCACACUCUGAUCAGUAAAUGUAUAGAAGGAGACGACUGCCCUGUGGAGUGGUGGUAUCUGGAGAGAGGUCUGAACUAGGAGGAAAGGGAGGGAAGUCCCUCCUUGGCUAUUUGGUGCUCUAGUUAUCACUAUUAAUAGCAAUGGUCCAUGGGCUAUGACUAUCUCUAAAAUAGAGAAAAUGUUACUUCACAGCGUUGCUGGAACCAUUAUAUGAGAUAGUGCCUGGCUGUGUCUAAUACCUGGAAUUAUUGUCUGUAAUGACACCCUUUCUCAGGGUUUGGAUGAAAUCGGGUUAAUAAUUCAGCCUCCUUUCUGGAAGUGGUGGUGGUCUCAGGAGGUGCUGGUCAUGGGAGGGCUGUGAUCAAGUGAGGAUGGGAGAUGGAGUGGCCUGGACAGGGCUCACCCCCACUCCCCCGCCCAGUGAAGAAGAAACGCUGGCAGGAGGCCGGGCUGGAGUGGCAUGGGUGUGCGUGGGGGGUGGGGUGAGUGCAGUCACCAAGGGGGCCGGCAGCUGUGCGGGUCCUGGGCCCUCACUCACAAUUGGAGGAAGGAGUUCAGGAAGUGCUCACAGCCGCUCAGACAUCUCAGAGCCUCGUCCCAGGCAGCACCAAGGCCGAGGCACCCAGGGAUGAGCGUGCCAUGGCCUGGGCCCUGGGGUGGUCAUCAGGUCAGGAGGCCCCGGCACUGCGUACAGCCAUAGCUGCCCCUCUGCCAGCCCGGGCUCCUGCAUCCAAGGAGUCUUGAGCUUAUGUUUUUCAGGACAGCGCUUCUUCCAGAGCUGCCAGUGGAGUUGCCCACGGCUCUUGGAAGCCUGGCCCAAGGCUGAGAAAAGUGACAGAGGCCACUAAAGUCGGAGUAGAGCCAUGUGGGGUGCCCAACGGCCCAGAGCGGGUACCAGCCAGGGCCUCAGACCAGUAUCUCCUUAGAAGACCACAGGGAGAGCAGCCGGAGGAGCAAGCCAUCACCAGCAGCUCCUCGCUUCGGAUGGGGAGCGAGUGAGGUCCAAAACACACCCUGGGCUGCUCAGUGGUCC